rnacentral:lncRNA from 1 species
AUUUCUUAAAAGCAGAAGAUGAAACUCCCACGGGAAAGAUGUGAAACCCAUUCCUCAAAGAUGACAGUGCUAAGAGGGAGAUGGGAGUGCAGUCUGCCACCCCUGCUAGGAAAUGUAUGAGCGAAUAAAUGAUUGAGUGAACUUUAAUGAAUGAACAAAGAAGUCAAAUAUUCAAUUCAUGUUUUUUAAAAAGUAAACUAAUCUAUUAAGAGCGCAAAGUUGUGAGGCUCUUCUGCCUAAUAGCAACAGCAAUCUGGCUCUUUAGAAAUGAAAAGCAGUCCUUCUCUGAGUCAGCAAUGUCUGGAGACAUUUUGGGCUGUCACACCUAGGGCAGGGGAGCUACUGGCAUGUAGCAAAGAGACGGGGGCUGCGGCUAAACAUCCUGCGCUGUCCAAGACACGCCCUGCCAGUAGUGCUGAGGCCAAGGGAGCUGCUCCCAUGUAGGGGCUGCAUGGGGACUUCGGUGGGGCCGGCACUGCCGGCUGCAGACUGCUGGCAGCAGAAGGUGCCACUGAGACAUUUACUCUAAUUCAAAGCAAAGAUUUGAAAAUUAAAGUGGACAGUGCUAUGGUUUGGAUUUGAAAUGCUCCUUAAAACCCACGUGUAAAGGCUGAGUGAUGGUCUUUUGAAGAAGUGAUUGGAUCCUGAGGGCUCUAACUUCAUCAAGUGGAUUAACCCGUUGACAGGAUCACAAUUUGAUGGCAUUAUUGAGAGGCAAUGGAAACAGAAGGCGAGGCCUCGUUGAAGGGAGUAGUUCAUGCGGUAUCACCUUGGAAACUGUAUCUGCUCCCCAGCCCCUUCUCUGGCUCUUUCCCAUUCUCUUUCCUUCUCAGUUGCUGUGCUAUGAGCAGCUCUCCUCUACCACACCCUUCCAUCAUGAUGUUUCUGCCUCGCCUCAGGCCUAAAACAAUGGAGCAGCUGACCAUGGACUGAACCUCUAAAACCGUAGCAGCCACCUCUGAGGCAGCAUGCUUGGGACCCCCGUGUCCAGUGUUGAAGGGGCAACUCUUGCUGGGGAUCAAGCCGAGGGCCUUGCAUGUGCUAGCUGCCCAGGUAGGGAGGCGUGUUCACGUGAUGAAGGGGUCCCCAGGAAAUAGCUGUGUGCGCGCGAAGAACGCCCGCCGGUGUGUCUUCUCCACGCUUUCUUCUUCCUUCUGGAGGGAGGAACCAAGAGGUGGAAGCGAGUGCAGAAAGCACUUGGAAGGGAAGCCCUGUGGGAAGCCCUGAAGGACAGACAGACUCAAGGACUGGAAUCUUCAUUUGC